GAUAGUUCAUAGUCCUGACGAUAGUCUUAAUGGUUAUAAUUAUAGUCUUAAUGACUAUAGCUAUAACCAUUAAGACUAUAGUCAUGACUAUUA